rfam:Callithrix jacchus chromosome 10, whole genome shotgun sequence
UGGAUCGAUGAUGAGCACUGGUGGAGUACGAGUCACUUACGAUGAAUACAUGUCUGGAACUCUGAGGUCCGU